GGAGAGAUGGCUCAGUGGUUAAGAGCACUGACUGUUCUUUCAGAGGUCCUGAGUUCAAUUCCCAGCAACCACA
rnacentral:tRNA from 1 species